CCGCGGGAUUCCUACGGGAGGCAGCAGUGAGGAAUAUUGCGCAAUGGAGGAAACUCUGACGCAGCGACGCCGCGUGAAGGAUGAAGGCCCUCUGGGUUGUAAACUUCUGUAGAGAGGGAAGAAUUUUCGCUUUCGGCGAAUUGACGGUACCUCUAAAGUAAGGGUCGGCUAACUACGUGCCAGCAGCCGCGGUAAUACGGAGGGUGCAAGCGUUAUCCGGAAUCACUGGGUUUAAAGGGUGCGUAGGCGGCUAAAUAAGUCAGUGGUGAAAGGCCGUGGCUUAACCAUGGGAUUGCCAUUGAUACUGUAUAGCUUGAAUGAGGAUGAGGUUGGCGGAAUGUGGCAUGUAGCGGUGAAAUGCUUAGAUAUGCCAUGGAACAUCGAUUGCGAAGGCAGCUGACUGGACCUGAAUUGACGCUGAGGCACGAAAGCGUGGGUAGCGAACAGGAUUAGAUACCCUGGUAGUCCACGCCCUAAACGAUGCUUACUCGUUGCUUGAUCGCAAGAUUGAGUGACUAAGGGAAAACGAUAAGUAAGCCACCUGGGGAGUACGACCGCAAGGUUGAAACUCAAAGGAAUUGACGGAAUCACUA
rnacentral:rRNA from 1 species